GAAUAAAACAAUGUCUCACUCCUUAAUAGCAACCCCAGCUCCUGGUGGGGCCUUUAAAUAAUGGGGACAACGGAUGGAAGCUAGCUGACCCUUGGCUGAGCCAGAGACAAUACCAGUUUGAAAUCACGUGUCUUGUUCAGAGGCUUUUGAGGGACAAGUCUGAAUAACAGGAGGCAGUGGAUUAUGGAGAUCUUCAAAAUGGCAGAAACACAAACAGAGCAGAACAAGAGUGUUUUGGUGCCCCCGUAAGUUUUGCACUUACGUGCCUCACUGGCCUUAACCUGGUCCUGACCUUGUGUCAGACACCCCAGCCACCCCAACAGGGACCUG